rnacentral:lncRNA from 1 species
AUCCUUUGUUUUCAAUGUUUAAAUUAAUUUAUCUUUGUCUUGUUGCAAUCAUGAGGAGCUAAACAUGUUUUAGCUAGGGGUGAAUUUGAAACCAUGAUUAUAUAUGUAAUAUGAGUUGGUUAUUUCCAGUUAUAAUUUUGUGAAUUGUGAAUGCAAUUUACUUAACUGUUUAAUUUAGAACUUAUUCAUGUUUGUUGAUUAAGGAUGCAUGCUUCGUUUGCAUGCAUGAAU